GUAAAAUUAGGAACAAGGCAGCGUUUGUACCUUUCUGAGGAGCUAAAAAUUAGAUUUCCAGUAUUUUACAUUGCUGGGUCAUCAUAACCAUCAGAAUGAUUAGAGAUUUACUAUGAGAUAAUUAUCAAAAUGAGGAGUUGAUCCAUCUAUUUCUAGGACUAACUUUCACUCAAAUAUUUAAUUCUAUAAGUUGUUUAGGCUAGUCCAGGAGAAUGGAGAAACAUCAGCAGGGUGAAAGAGCUAUGAUUCUUGUGGCUGACACUUGAGACUGGCUAGAAGUUUACCAAAUGAAUCUCCACCAAUUCCCCGGUACACAUUUCCCAGCUUUCUUUGCAGAGGGCAUGCACUUGAAUGUGCAGCAGUGAAAUUUGGAGGCACAUUCACAACAUUUCAAGGACUCAAUCACCACACAUGCCCUGGGGCUGCAGAAGUAAACAGCACAGACCGACCAGGUCCAUUAUGGUGGGGGGGUUCUAUCAGUUGGCAUUGGAAGAGCAUCGUCUUUGGAGGCUGAGGCUGAAGCCCAAAUGUGCAGCUUGGCAAUGGUGCGCCUCUGUCUCUUCAUGUUUAAAAUAAGCAACUUUGUCAGGACAGCAGGACAAUCUUCAACCCUGGACCAAUCUAAGUGAUAUGUCUUUCUUAUUCCUUAACUUCUUAGUAGGCUAUAGA